rnacentral:lncRNA from 1 species
AAGAGUUGAAAGACACCGUAGAGCUCCUAAAAUGUUGCGCCGACAAAGUAGCAUUUUUCCGGGUGUUAACUAUUCAUACUUUGUUUUCUAGUGAGAGUCCUGAGCCUUUGCCUCGCACUCACUGCAUCUAGCUCUUUCUCUUGCAGCUGUCGGCUUUGUGAGUGAGGAUGAGUACCUGGAGAUCCAGGGCAUCACUCGGGAGCAGUCAGGCGAGUAUGAGUGCAGCGCCUCCAACGACGUGGCAGCACCAGUCGUACGAAGAGUGAAGGUCACCGUGAACUAUCCACCAUACAUCUCAGAAGCUAAGGGUACAGGUGUCCCCGUGGGGCAGAA